AAGUGCAAAUACCUCAAAUGAACUCAUGCAGUAAGGCAAGCAUCUGCAAGUAUGAUGCAACAAUUAAGGCCCCUGUUAUAAAUAACAGUCAUCAUAGUAUUUUGAACAAGAAUCAGUUGCUCAUGAAGACUCCAGAUAUGAAGACCGUAAUUCUCCUGUUUGCUCUGUUAGCAUUGAGUGGAAAUCUAGUGCAGGAGUCUGAGGCUUUUAUAGGACUCACGCCAGCGUGUGCGGGAUGUGCUGGCUUGUGUGAGUACCCAGUUCGUGGACUUAGCUGCCGCUGUGAAGUGGAUCAAGCUUGUUUGAAAAGACUUUAUAAUGAAGAUUAGAAGUUAUGUUUGAGCAUACGUGCAGAUUUGAACAAUUUAUGACUAUAAUUAUGCAUAAUUGUAAUGUAACAUAACUUUGAUCUUUGAAUGAUUUA